UCUUCUGCCACCUGGGACCAGCCUUUCUCAGGCGCCCAAGGCCUGGGCCCCAGAGGCAUCUGGGCCAAGGUGGACCUGGGAAACGGGCCAAUGGGCGGGAGUUCCUCUCAGAUCCCGGGGAGGGAGACCUGUGCCCCGCAAGGCUCCUGGCGGCUGUGAGGGGAGAGCCGAGCAGCAGCCGGGGCAGCCCCGAGCCGGGACAGGGAUUCUCUGAGACCAGCCGCCCGCGCUCUGGGCUCUCUGCGAGUCCGCAGCUGCUCUAAGCCGGGACUCAAGAGCCCCCACAAGCGAGUUUCCUUUUACCAGUCAGAGGACGCCAGGAGUUUAUCCUCCGGCAUCGUGUUGUGUCAGAAGGGCGGCCUUCCCGGGACCCAGAUCAGGCAGGAAGGCGAAGGGCCAGUCCCACCGAUUCCGCAUUCUUGCCUGGCGCCACGUUUCCUCCCACAGAGCGGUAGGAAAUCACCCCGAGGGCGCCCUAAGACCGACCCGUUUUUCAUAUGAAAAAUGGGAUGACCUCCAGCUCCCCGCCUAUCGGAAAUCCACAACCCACCCCACGGCAUCGUUCCGAGCCCGUCAGCGAGCUGCUUUUUCAGUCAGCCAGAUGACACAAAGGCAUCAUGGCAAGAACGCAGCAAGAAUUCCCCUUCUGAAGAGGAUCGCCCAUCCCCCCACGCCUUCAGGUCCACAAUCUGGAAGUCCUCCCCGACUCCUCGCUGCUGCUCCUGUCCCACUUCCAAGCUCUUGCCAAUAUCCGUACAUCUGUGCAGCAUCUCUCAAUAAUGCCCCCUGCUCCGCCCCUGCAUACCCCCCCCCAUGCCUCAUCAUCUCAUGACCCCCCAGGUCAUGGCAAUGGCCUUUUUGGUACACCUCACGCCCUGCCAGGUACUCUACAAUUCAGGGAUACAGGUCUCCCGGCCAUCCCGGCUCUCCUCUCCGGGUAUUGUCCCCUGUAUCUGGAAAGAGCUUUCUCCUGCACUUCGACCACUGAGCUGCCCGACUUCCUGGAAGUCCCCACUAAAAUCUCACCUCCUGUAGGAUGCCUUCCCCAGCCUUUCUGAAUCCCCGUGCCUUUCCCCCUAAUUAUUUUCUAUUUAUACUGUAUAGAACUUGCUUUGUACAUAUUUGUUUGCAUGUUGUCUCUUCCAAUAAAUCGUGAGCUUUCCGAGUUGCCA